GGAAUCUUUCCACAAUGGACGAAAGUCUGAUGGAGCAACGCCGCGUGAGUGAAGAAGGGUUUCGGCUCGUAAAACUCUGUUGUUAAAGAAGAACAUAUCUGAGAGUAACUGUUCAGGUAUUGACGGUAUUUAACCAGAAAGCCACGGCUAACUACGUGCCAG
rnacentral:rRNA from 1 species